GAUGAACGCUGGCGGCGUGCCUAAUACAUGCAAGUAGAACGCUGAAGGAGGAGCUUGCUCUUCUGGAUGAGUUGCGAACGGGUGAGUAACGCGUAGGUAACCUGCCUGGUAGCGGGGGAUAACUAUUGGAAACGAUAGCUAAUACCGCAUGACAACAGUUAUUGCAUGAUAACUGUUUAAAAGGGGCAACUGCUCCACUACCAGAUGGACCUGCGUUGUAUUAGCUAGUUGGUGAGGUAACGGCUCACCAAGGCGACGAUACAUAGCCGACCUGAGAGGGUGAUCGGCCACACUGGGACUGAGACACGGCCCAGACUCCUACGGGAGGCAGCAGUAGGGAAUCUUCGGCAAUGGACGGAAGUCUGACCGAGCAACGCCGCGUGAGUGAAGAAGGUGUUCGGAUCGUAAAGCUCUGUUGUAAGAGAAGAACGAGUGUGAGAGUGGAAAGUUCACACUGUGACGGUAUCGUACCAGAAAGGGACGGCUAACUACGU
rnacentral:rRNA from 1 species